rnacentral:misc_RNA from 1 species
CCGAAAAGAUAGUGAAUUUUGUGCAGUGCCCACACAGAUUGUCUGAUGAAAUGAAAAAGAAGCAGCGCGUCUGCGAAGAAGACUGAUUGUCCCCUUCGUCUAGAGGCCUAGGACACCGCCCUUUCACGGCGGUAACAGGGGUUCGAAUCCCCUAGGGGACGCCACGCUGCAGGAAACGGGUGAAAGGCGUGACCGACGUUUAUUUUUAAGUGGGCUGCAGGCAGCCGAUUUACAAAUAAUGCUCUUUAACAAUCUGGAACAAGCUGAAAAUUUGAAACAAUCAGUACUGUAACCGCGCUAAGGCGGCAGUAUUGAGGAGUCUCUCAAUCACUCCAGUCCGAAGACACCUUCGGGUUGUGA